rnacentral:rRNA from 1 species
CGAGGAAUUUUGCACAAUCGACGCAAGUCGGAUGCAGCAACGCCGCGUGGGGGAAGAAGGCUCUCGAGUUGUAAACCCCUUUUGUGAGGGAAGAAGAUCUGACGGUACCUCACGAAUAAGUCACGGCUAACUACGUGCCAGCAGCCGCGGUAAUACGUAGGUGGCGAACGUUGUCCGGAUUUACUGGGCGUAAAGCGCGCGCAGGCGGACUGGUAAGUCAGAGGUGAAAUCUCCCGGCUCAACUGGGAGGGGCCCUUUGAUACUGCCAGUCUUGAGAUGCCUAGAGGAGAGUGGAAUUCCCGGUGUAGUGGUGGAAUGCGUAGAUAUCGGGAGGAACACCAGUGGCGAAAGCGGCUCUCUGGGGGCGAUCUGACGCUGAGGCGCGAAAGCGUGGGGAGCAAACCGGAUUAGAUACCCGGGUAGUCCACGCCGUAAACGAUGAGUACUAGCUGUAUGGGGUAUCGACUCCCUGUGUAGCGAAGCUAACGCGAUAAGU